rnacentral:rRNA from 1 species
UACGAAGGGGGCUAGCGUUGUUCGGAAUUACUGGGCGUAAAGGGCGCGUAGGCGGCCUUGUGAGUCGAGUGUGAAAGCCCUGGGCUUAACCCGGGAAGCGCGCUUGAUACUGCAGGGCUUGAGUGUGGGAGAGGAUGAUGGAAUUCCCAGUGUAGAGGUGAAAUUCGUAGAUAUUGGGAAGAACACCGGUGGCGAAGGCGGCUAUCUGGACCGACAUUGACGCUGAGGCGCGAAAGCGUGGGGAGCAAGCAGG